rnacentral:rRNA from 1 species
UGGGGAAUAUUGCACAAUGGGCGAAAGCCUGAUGCAGCAACGCCGCGUGAGUGAUGAAGGCCUUCGGGUUGUAAAGCUCUGUCUUUUGGGACGAUAAUGACGGUACCAAAGGAGGAAGCCACGGCUAACUACGUGCCAGCAGCCGCGGUAAUACGUAGGUGGCAAGCGUUGUCUGGAUUUACUGGGCGUAAAGGAUGCGUAGGCGGAUUUUUAAGUGAGAUGUGAAAUACCCGGGCUUAACUUGGGUGCUGCAUUUCAAACUGGGAAUCUAGAGUGCGGGAGAGGAGAAUGGAAUUCCUAGUGUAGCGGUGAAAUGCGUAGAGAUUAGGAAGAACACCAGUGGCGAAGGCGAUUCUCUGGACCGUAACUGACGCUGAGGCAUGAAAGCGUGGGUAGCAAACAGGAUUAGAUACCCUGGUAGUCCACGCCGUAAACGAUGAGUACUAGGUGUAGGAGGUAUCGACCCCUUCUGUGCCGCAGUUAACACAAUAAGUACUCCGCCUGGGAAGUACGAUCGCAAGAUUAAAACUCAAAGGAAUUGACGGGGUC